ensembl:ncRNA R13A1.16 ncRNA
AAAUAUUUACGAAACGUAUAGCAUAAUUUUUUAAUUUAUUUGGAAUUCUAACUACCUAAAAUUACUAUGAAACAUUAACUGAAAACUUCAACAAAAAAUUGGAAAGCUAUGUUCGGAAUGUGAAAGUAUUAUAAACCUAAAUUUGGAACGGAAACACUCAUUGAAUACGAUACGGAAGAUAUUCCGAGAGGUAGUGGU